UACGUAGGUCCCGAGCGUUGUCCGGAUUUAUUGGGCGUAAAGCGAGCGCAGGUGGUUUAUUAAGUCUGGUGUAAAAGGCAGUGGCUCAACCAUUGUAUGCAUUGGAAACUGAUAGAUUUGAGUGCAGGAGAGGAGAGUGGAAUUCCAUGUGUAGCGGUGAAAUGCGUAGAUAUAUGGAGGAACACCGGUGGCGAAAGCGGCUCUCUGGCCUGUAACUGACACUGAGGCUCGAAAGCGUGGGGAGCAAACAGG
rnacentral:rRNA from 1 species